ensembl:snRNA U6 U6 spliceosomal RNA
AUGCUCACUUUGGCAGCACAUAAACUAAAGUUGGAAAGAUACAGAGAAGAUUAGCAUGGCCCCAUGUGCAAGGAUGACAUGCAAAUUCAUGACAUGUUCCAUACAUAU